GUCGUGCGUUUCACAACUAACUAUAAGAAAGCACAUGUUUACGAGUGCAAAAACUCUCAGCAAAAAUAGUCAUUCUCCCUCAAGGACCGAGUCUCCGAACCAAAUCUACAUCCUUCACGUGUCCCUCUCUGCCGGACAUGGAGAGGCCGCUGCUUAACGGAAGUCUCACCUCCGGCGACGGAGACUACUUGCCAGUGAGGAGUUUCAAGGAGAUAAAGUCUGUGUUUUGGAUUGAGACAGUGAAGUUGUGGAAGAUUGCCGCUCCAAUUGUGUUUAAUACCCUGUGCCAAUAUGGGAUAAACUCGGUUACCAACAUAUUUGUGGGUCAUGUUGGAAAUUUUGAGCUUUCUGCCGUUGCCAUUUCUCUCUCUGUUAUUGGCACCUUUUCUUUUGGAUUCAUGCUUGGAAUGGGGAGUGCACUGGAGACGCUCUGUGGUCAAGCUUUUGGUGCUGGGCGAGUUCACAUGCUUGGUAUUUACAUGCAGCGGUCAUGGAUUAUCUUAUUCGUGACUUGUAUCUUCUUGUUGCCCAUUUACAUUUUCGCUAGUCCUAUAUUGAAGCUCCUUGGGCAAGAAGAAAGUGUCGCAGACUAUGCUGGAAAUUUUACUUUACUAAUUAUCCCGCAGUUGUUUUCACUUGCCAUCAAUUUCCCUACCACAAAGUUCCUUCAGGCUCAAAGCAAGGUUACUGCGCUUGCCUGGAUCGGCUUCGUGGCUCUGAUCCUGCACAUUCCUUUGCUCUGGCUCUUGAUUUUUGUAUUUAGCUGGGGUACAACUGGUGCAGCCAUAGCAUUUGAUAUUACUAAUUGGGGAAUGGUUGUGGCUCAAGUUGUUUAUGUCAUGGGAUGGUGCAAGGACGGUUGGCAAGGAUUUUCUUGGUCUGCGUUUAAAGAGAUUUGGGCUUUUGUUCGGCUCUCACUUGCCUCAGCUGUUAUGCUUUGCCUAGAAAUUUGGUAUAUGAUGAGCAUUAUUGUGCUUACUGGCCAUCUUGGUAAUGCAGUGAUUGCAGUUGAUUCCCUCUCUAUAUGGUGAGUUAAUUAGUCUUCAGAUUUUACCAAAUCACAAAAUAUUCAAAUGUGUUUAUCAUAAUUCAUGGCAAUCAGAUGCCCUAUAACGGCAUUGUUUAGUGGCUCAAAAGUUUUUUUUACAGAAGUUGGAUCCUUCCUAUUGGUAAUCAUUCAAUUUUUGUUUUCAUUUUUGGCGCUUAUCUCACUUGUUUCCCCCUAUUUCAGUAUGAAUUUCAAUGGUUGGGAGGCUAUGUUGUUCAUUGGAAUAAAUGCAGCUAUAAGGUAAACCAAAGGAACUCUACUUUUGAAUGAAUAUAACUAACAAAUUAAUUCAAUUACUAUGUUACGAUGGGAGGAUAUAUUCCUAGGGAUACAUGGUUAAGUAACUGGAUGGAUGUUUCAAACUUCAAGAAGGCGUUAGCAUCUUUGUGUCUCUGGUCUAGAAAGUCCUGCAAAUAUUUUGUAUUUCUUUCUAAUAUGUUUCAUGGUUAUUCUGUAAGGUUUGGGAUUCAAUGAGUGUUUGUCUUCCUUGCUUUGCCACUACUAUCUGUAAAAUAUUUUAAAAUUCUUUUUCCUCUUCAGCGUUCGUGUCUCCAAUGAGCUUGGAUCAGGACAUCCAAGAGCAGCCAAAUAUUCCGUAUAUGUGACUGUAUUUCAGUCCUUCCUCAUUGGAAUUCUUUUCAUGCUCAUCAUAUUGAUAGCCAAGGACUAUUUUGCAAUCAUUUUCACUAACAGCAAAGAUCUGCAAGUAGCCGUCUCCAAGCUAGCAUUUCUCCUUGCCCUCACCAUGGUUCUUAACAGUGUUCAGCCAGUGAUAGGAGGUACAAUUGGAUUUCGCCGCAAAACUCACAUCAUUCAUUUUCCAGCCUCUCCUUAUUAUGGUUUUUAUGCUAAUUUUGUAGGUGUUGCCAUUGGGAGUGGUUGGCAAGCAUUAGUGGCCUAUAUCAACAUCGGUUGCUACUAUAUUUUUGGGCUUCCUCUUGGUUUCCUGCUUGGUUACAAAGCAAACUUAGGAGUGAAGGUACAGUAACUUUGUUCCACCAUUUCUGUGCUUGCUUGAUGACCUUCACCAUUAUGAUUCAACUUAACUAGCCAUUGCCACAUUGUUCUUAGUUUCUGCAGUUGCUAAUUGUAUAUUGCUUUUAUAGUUGCUCGUUCUUAAUGAUUAGUUGAUGUAGUAAGUAAAGGGUUCCAUUGCUGUAGGGAGUCUGGGGGGGAAUGAUAGCUGGAACUGCUUUGCAGACCUUGCUGCUCUUGAUAGUACUUUACAGAACCAACUGGAACAAAGAGGUAAAUGGAAAAAUUUCCUUAAAAGUGAUGGACUGAUAAUCUUGCUAUGGAUGACCUUUGAUUGUAGUUUUCAGUGGUCCUUCUUCCAUGAUAAAGAAGUAUAAAUUGAUUUUGCAGGUAGAGCAAACAUCAGAGCGCGUGCGGAGGUGGGGUGGACAAGAAGUGGACAAGGAGAAUACUGUUGAUGGUGUAUGAAAUGUGCCAUUUGAAAAAGCUGUGAACAAUUCUAUAGGUUCCUCCAUUAUUGUUUGAACGCCUCCAAUGGUGGAAACUUUAAACUCUUAUGUAGCAGUUGUUGCUUGAUCUCUUGAUCUUGCCUCUAGAGUUUAAUGCGGCAAUGUACUUGUUCAGCUUGUCGAAAUUUUUAACUGGCAUGAAUGCUUUUUGUUCAUGCUUUUUCUCAAUUAGAUUAUUGCAAGUUUCAGAUAGUCAUGCUUCAUGAAUGUGUGCAGUGAAUUACACUCGGUUUAUUAUAUGAAAUCAAUAAACGGUGUCAUGAAU
rnacentral:misc_RNA from 1 species